rnacentral:tRNA from 1 species
GUGUAGCUCAGAGGUAGAGCACUUGCCUGGCAUGCAUGAGGCCCUGAGUUCAAUCCCCAGUGC